GAUUGAAGUUUGAUCAUGGCUCAGAGCGAACGCUGGCGGCAGGCUUAACACAUGCAAGUCGAGCGGGCGUAGCAAUACGUCAGCGGCAGACGGGUGAGUAACGCGUGGGAACGUACCUUUUGGUUCGGAACAACACAGGGAAACUUGUGCUAAUACCGGAUAAGCCCUUACGGGGAAAGAUUUAUCGCCGAAAGAUCGGCCCGCGUCUGAUUAGCUAGUUGGUAGGGUAAUGGCCUACCAAGGCGACGAUCAGUAGCUGGUCUGAGAGGAUGAUCAGCCACAUUGGGACUGAGACACGGCCCAAACUCCUACGGGAGGCAGCAGUGGGGAAUAUUGGACAAUGGGGGCAACCCUGAUCCAGCCAUGCCGCGUGAGUGAUGAAGGCCCUAGGGUUGUAAAGCUCUUUUGUGCGGGAAGAUAAUGACGGUACCGCAAGAAUAAGCCCCGGCUAACUUCGUGCCAGCAGCCGCGGUAAUCCCCUGUGUG
rnacentral:rRNA from 1 species